rnacentral:rRNA from 1 species
AUUAGGAAUCUUGCGCAAUGGGCGAAAGCCUGACGCAGCGACGUCGCGUGACCGAUGAAGUCUUUCGGGAUGUAAAGGUCUUUUCUGGGGGAAGAAGGAUGUGACGGUACCCCAGGAAUAAGCCCCGGCUAACUACGUGCCAGCAGCCGCGGUAAUACGUAGGGGGCGAGCGUUGUCCGAAUUCACUGGGCGUAAAGCGCGCGUAGGCGGACUAUUAAGUUGUGGGUGAAAUCCCGGGGCUCAACCCCGGAACUGCCUGCAAAACUGGUAGUCUUGAGGUAUGAAGAGGGAAGUGGAAUUCCAGGUGUAGCGGUGAAAUGCGUAGAUAUCUGGAGGAACACCCGUGGCGAAGGCGGCUUCCUGGUCAUAUCCUGACGCUGAGGUGCGAAAGCCAGGGGAGCGAACGGGAUUAGAUACCCCGGUAGUCC